rnacentral:rRNA from 1 species
CCUACGGGUGGCAGCAGUGGGGAAUAUUGGGCAAUGGGCGCAAGCCUGACGCAGCAACGCCGCGUGAAGGAAGAAGGCUUUCGGGUUGUAAACUUCUUUUCUCAGGGACGAAGCCAGUGACGGUACCUGAGGAAGUAGCCACGGCUAACUACGUGCCAGCAGCCGCGGUAAUACGUAGGUGGCAAGCGUUAACCGGAUUUACUGGGUGUAAAGGGCGUGUAGGCGGGAAAGCAAGUGAGCUGUGAAAGCCAUGGGCUCAACCUGUGGCCUGCAUUUGAUACUGGUUCGCUAGAGUACUGGAGGGGCAGACGGAAUUCCACGUGUAGCGGUGAAAUGCGUAGAGAUGAGGAGGAAUACCGGAGGCGAAGGCAGUCUGUUGGAAAGCUACUGACGCUGAGGUGCGAAAGCGUGGGGAGCAAACAGGAUUAGAUACCCCGGUAGUC